rnacentral:rRNA from 1 species
UACGUAGGGUGCGAGCGUUAAUCGGAAUUACUGGGCGUAAAGCGUGCGCAGGCGGUUCGCUGUCGUCCUGUGUCGAAAGCCCCGGGCUUAACCUGGGAAUGGCGUUUGAAACUACGGAGCUGGAGUAUGGCAGGAGGGGGGUGGAAUUCCACGUGUAGCGGUGAAAUGCGUAGAGAUGUGGAGGAAUACCGAUGGCGAAGGCAGCCUCCUGGGCCAACACUGACGCUCAUGCACGAAAGCGUGGGGAGCAAACAGG